rnacentral:rRNA from 1 species
AAAGAAAAGAGUGGCGAACGGGUGAGUAACACGUGGGUAACCUGCCCAUCAGAAGGGGAUAACACUUGGAAACAGGUGCUAAUACCGUAUAACAAGUAAAACCGCAUGGUUUUACUUUGAAAGGCGCUUUUGCGUCACUGAUGGAUGGACCCGCGGUGCAUUAGCUAGUUGGUGAGGUAACGGCUCACCAAGGCAACGAUGCAUAGCCGACCUGAGAGGGUGAUCGGCCACAUUGGGACUGAGACACGGCCCAAACUCCUACGGGAGGCAGCAGUAGGGAAUCUUCGGCAAUGGACGAAAGUCUGACCGAGCAACGCCGCGUGAGUGAAGAAGGUUUUCGGAUCGUAAAACUCUGUUGUUAGAGAAGAACAAGGAUGAGAGUAAAAAGUUCAUCCCUUGACGGUAUCUAACCAGAAAGCCACGGCUAACUACGUGCCAGCAGCCGCGGUAAUACGUAGGUGGCAAGCGUUGUCCGGAUUUAUUGGGCGUAAAGCGAGCGCAGGCGGUUUCUUAAGUCUGAUGUGAAAGCCCCCGGCUCAACCGGGGAGGGUCAUUGGAAACUGGGAAACUUGAGUGCAGAAGAGGAGAGUGGAAUUCCAUGUGUAGCGGUGAAAUGCGUAGAUAUAUGGAGGAACACCAGUGGCGAAGGCGGCUCUCUGGUCUGUAACUGACGCUGAGGCUCGAAAGCGUGGGGAGCAAACAGGAUUAGAUACCCUGGUAGUCCACGCCGUAAACGAUGAGUGCUAAGUGUUGGAGGGUUUCCGCCCUUCAGUGCUGCAGCUAACGCAUUAAGCACUCCGCCUGGGGAGUACGACCGCAAGGUUGAAACUCAAAGGAAUUGACGGGGGCCCGCACAAGCGGUGGAGCAUGUGGUUUAAUUCGAAGCAACGCGAAGAACCUUACCAGGUCUUGACAUCCUUUGACCACUCUAGAGAUAGAGCUUCCCCUUCGGGGGCAAAGUGACAGGUGGUGCAUGGUUGUCGUCAGCUCGUGUCGUGAGAUGUUGGGUUAAGUCCCGCAACGAGCGCAACCCUUAUUGUUAGUUGCCAUCAUUUAGUUGGGCACUCUAGCGAGACUGCCGGUGACAAACCGGAGGAAGGUGGGGAUGACGUCAAAUCAUCAUGCCCCUUAUGACCUGGGCUACACACGUGCUACAAUGGGAAGUACAACGAGUCGCGAAGUCGCGAGGCUAAGCUAAUCUCUUAAAGCUUCUCUCAGUUCGGAUUGUAGGCUGCAACUCGCCUACAUGAAGCCGGAAUCGCUAGUAAUCGCGGAUCAGC